UACGGAGGGUGCGAGCGUUAUCCGGAUUCACUGGGUUUAAAGGGUGCGUAGGUGGGAAUGUAAGUCAGUGGUGAAAUCUCCGUGCUUAACAUGGAAACUGCCAUUGAUACUAUGUUUCUUGAAUUUUCUGGAGGUAAGCGGAAUAUGUCAUGUAGCGGUGAAAUGCUUAGAUAUGACAUAGAACACCAAUUGCGAAGGCAGCUUGCUACAGGGAUAUUGACACUGAGGCACGAAAGCGUGGGGAUCAAACAGG
rnacentral:rRNA from 1 species